rnacentral:rRNA from 1 species
GUGAGGAAUAUUGGUCAAUGGACGGAAGUCUGAACCAGCCAUGCCGCGUGCAGGAAGACGGCUCUAUGAGUUGUAAACUGCUUUUGUACGAGGGUAAACGCAGAUACGUGUAUCUGCCUGAAAGUAUCGUACGAAUAAGGAUCGGCUAACUCCGUGCCAGCAGCCGCGGUAAUACGGAGGAUCCAAGCGUUAUCCGGAUUUAUUGGGUUUAAAGGGUGCGUAGGCGGUUUAGUAAGUCAGCGGUGAAAUUUUGGUGCUUAACACCAAACGUGCCGUUGAUACUGCUGGGCUAGAGAGUAGUUGCGGUAGGCGGAAUGUAUGGUGUAGCGGUGAAAUGCUUAGAGAUCAUACAGAACACCGAUUGCGAAGGCAGCUUACCAAACUAUAUCUGACGUUGAGGCACGAAAGCGUGGGGAGCAAACAGG